AUUUCCAUCCCGGCCCCUCACACUGUGUGUAAGGUUUAAGCUUCUGUCGCAUAUGGGGCAAUGUGUUUGAUCUGUAGGGGUGUGGAGCUAUGUGCGUUUAUCUUCACGUGUGUGUGUUGGUGAGCGCCUGUGUGUGGAUAUUCAUGUGAAUGGUUGCAUUCAGAAUGUUAUUGUGACUCAAAAACAGAAUUACCUGGAAAAACUCAGCAGGUCUGGCAGCAUCGGCGGAGAAGAAAAGAGUUGACGUUUCGAGUCCUCAUGACCCUUCGACAGAACUUGGAUUUCCAGCAUCCGCAGUUUUUUUGUUUUUAUCUAUGUUAUUGUGACUUCCUCUUUCAGAUGCCAAUCCACCUGCUCUGCAUGUUUAUAACUUUAUUUUGUUUUCAAACAAGAUGUUUAAUUCAUGGCAAAGCGGCAAACAUUCACCACUGUUCUCAGUGACAUGCUACUGUAUUAACACAUCAAGCAAAACAAUUUUUAAUGCAUAUUUGGAAACAGCCACAUCAUGCAGAGAGCAGUGAAAACUAUAGAGAAUAACACAAGAGAUAGUGGACACUCAAAGAGGUACCUUCUGAUUUUUGUUGUUAAAUAGUGAAUGAAGCUGAUACCAUGUGUCUUUUUUGCUAAAUCCCUCUAACGUAACUUAUUUGAGAACAUUUUGAAAAGAUUUUGAAAACAUGUUAAAGGAUCUCUGAUAAUUAAACUGGUUUGCUCCAGA